UUUUAGACUUUUGGUCUCUCUCUCUUCAAGCCUUCUCAGACAAACUUCACCGCCUCUGUCUUUCUCCCCGUUCGUGCGACGCUUAUGCUCCUACCUCAAUUUCAUUUUCAUGUUUUCCCUGCAUCUUCAUCUUCAUUCAUUCUCCGUGAACGAAGUCCCACCCAAAAUCACUCAGCCUCAUCAACGUCCCUGCUCUAGUUCUUGGUGCCUCCCUUAGUCAACCGAGCAAUUCCUUCUUCGUCCGAGUUCUUCGACGCCAGCUCUCGGUCAACUCGGCGAUUACCUCAGCAAGUGUUGACUGCCAAGCCCACCGAAUCUGCUUGCUUUCAUCUCCUGUGAAGACCUUCGGUUUUGUUGAUUGAAGCAGCGUCCUUCGAAGAAGCCAGCUGCCUUCUUCUUCUUUCGGUUUUGAUGAGCUGUCCAGCAGUCCGAAGUUCCCUGCCCCUUUCGUUGCCACCAAAGAUCAGCGAAGCUCCUCAAGCUCACUUCAUCUCACCGAACCGAAGCGGCCACGUCUCCAGCAAAUUUCGUGAGCCCAUCUUCGUGUAAGCCGCAGCCCAUCUUCACAGCGUCUUCGUCUUGUCCUCGUGAAGCCAGCGACAAAACCCUGCCGCUCCAUGGUCGUUUGUCUUCUACCACUGUUUCAGCAUCUCCAUCUCGCCAACUGAAGCUGCCAGCGAAGCCCGCACGUGGAUCAGCAGCAACGCAUGAAGCCCAGCUUCAUUUCUUUAGCCCGUAUCAGCCCAUCGUGUCUUCAAGUCCAAGCCCACGUGAAUUCUGCCGCAAGCCAACAAAUUCAGCCCAUUUGAAGCUUAGUCCAGCAAGGCCCAGCAACUCCUUUAAGCCCAAGUCCAGCAGCCCAUCUUGAAGUCAGCUCAGUCCAGUGAAGCCCGGCCCGUUUCAGCAACAAAUCUUAGUUGGGCUGAGAUUUGUUGGGCCAAGUUUAGGCCCGGCCCAAGUUUGUCGACACCGCCGAAAAUUUCGAUUUCAACCGCCGUCGCGUCGUUGUCGCGGUGAACCAGUUUCCGCAAUUAACCGGGUCGUCGAGUGGAGGACCUGGAGCUGAGAGGAGGUGAUCGGAAGCGUAGGUCCUUAAAUGGUGGUUGUGGAGGACCCGAAGCCCUAAGUCUGGAAAGGUGGAGACUAAAGUAUCGGUGAACGUGUCCUGCUAGUUGGUUUUAGGAUAGUUUCCCUUUUGUCGAGCUGGUCUAUUUUGUAGACAGUCCAAAGUUGUAUUUAAACCUAUGUGUUUGUA